CGGCUCGACGGUCUCGCGGCGAAGACAGGGCCAAUAAUGGCGUCCAAAUCUUAGGCUGUCGGGACUCCAUCUAUCAAGGGACUCUACAGAUCAUGACCCAGAAACGGGUUACGCUAAAUGGAAAAGGCUAUAAGAUGGUCGCCAGUUGCUUCAAAAUCCAGCCGCUAGCAGAAAAGUCGACGUUAAAAUGGUACAGGAGAAAACAAAAGCCUGAAAGAGAAAAUUGGUACCGGGGAGACUGGGGGAGUAAGCUGCUGUUCAAAGCAAGGUCCGGAACUCUAGAAGUUAAGGGGAGAAGCAGAGACGAGCAGGACCAAAACUGCAGCUUGUGUAUAGGGGAAAAGGAAACAAUAGAGCACCUGAUAGUGGCCUGUGACAGGUAUGAAGAAGAGAGGCAAAAGCUAUUGGCAUCAGUGGUGGAAAUUAUUGGGGAAGAGGAGUGGCAUAGCAGAUUGGAGGAGGAAGCCGGAAUAAGUACUGUGUUAGGACUAUAAGGCAGUAAGGAGGAAGCAAUGAAAUUAAUACCUCACACAAAAAUUGCCCGCCCCCCCUUACAGGGCCCCCUUUGAGCAAAGGCCCUCCCCCUAUUUAGGGGGUAAAUCUUACGAACGAACGCCGUGCGGCGCGCGCUAAACCAACAACACUCAAGGAGGCAGUUGAAGAAAACUAAAGUCUCCUGAAGUUGAGCGUCACUAGCUGGUGAUACCUGGGCUAAAAGGUUGGAAUUCUUCAAACCUAUAUACAGUGUCAACACAGGCUUUGUCUUGCUUUUUCCUGCCCAACUUUUGACAAGAAACGGUCCAUAUGAUGCAAGCGAAGCUUCCCACUCACCGUGCUGGCAGCGUUGAGAACUACUGGGCAUUCAAGAGGCAGUUCCAGGAGUUUGUCCUCGACACGUCAGCUUCAGCCAUGCAUAAGCUCAAUCAGCUAUAAACCAACUGCGACGGGGAGGUGCAGCUACUGAUAGCUCACUGCAUGGCGCUCCCGGCAGAACCAGGCCUCGUAGU